UGUUUAUGACGUCGACGUCAUAAACACGAUCAACUUUGGUGUUUAUGACGUCGAUAUUCGAUCAAUUUAUGUGUUUAUGACGAUCAACAAACGGACACGACCAACUUAUGUGUUGAUGACGUCGACAUUCGACCUGAUAAACACGAUCAAGUUUGGUGUUUAUCACGUCGACGUUAUAAACA
rnacentral:miRNA from 1 species